UGGGGAAUAUUGGACAAUGGGCGCAAGCCUGAUCCAGCAAUGCCGCGUGAGUGAUGAAGGCCUUAGGGUUGUAAAGCUCUUUCGGCGGGGACGAUGAUGACGGUACCCGCAGAAGAAGCCCCGGCUAACUUCGUGCCAGCAGCCGCGGUAAUACGAAGGGGGCUAGCGUUGUUCGGAAUUACUGGGCGUAAAGGGCGCGUAGGCGGCUCGUCAAGUCAGGCGUGAAAGCCCCGGGCUUAACCUGGGAUGUGCGCUUGAGACUGGCGGGCUUGAGUUCGGGAGAGGAUGGUGGAAUUCCCAGUGUAGAGGUGAAAUUCGUAGAUAUUGGGAAGAACACCGGUGGCGAAGGCGGCCAUCUGGACCGACACUGACGCUGAGGCGCGAAAGCGUGGGGAGCAAA
rnacentral:rRNA from 1 species